rnacentral:rRNA from 1 species
UGGCCGGGGCGCAGCCUGAGACGCAACGCCGCGUGGAGGAUGAAGACCUUCGGGUCGUAAACUCCUUUCGAUCGAGACGAAUGGCUUCUGGGAUAACACCCUGGGAGGAUGACGGUACCGAGAGAAGAAGCCCCGGCUAACUCCGUGCCAGCAGCCGCGGUAAUACGGGGGGGGCAAGCGUUGUUCGGAAUUACUGGGCGUAAAGGGCUCGUAGGCGGCCAACUAAGUCAGACGUGAAAUCCCUCGGCUUAACCGGGGAACUGCGUCUGAUACUGGAUGGCUCGAGAUCGGGAGAGGGAUGCGGAAUUCCAGGUGUAGCGGUGAAAUGCGUAGAUAUCUGGAGGAACACCGGUGGCGAAGGCGGCGUCCUGGACCGACACUGACGCUGAGGAGCGA